rnacentral:rRNA from 1 species
GAUGAACGCUGGCGGCGUGCCUAAUACAUGCAAGUCGAGCGAACAAACGAGGAGCUUGCUCCUCUGACGUUAGCGGCGGACGGGUGAGUAACACGUGGAUAACCUACCUAUAAGACUGGGAUAACUUCGGGAAACCGGAGCUAAUACCGGAUAAUAUAUUGAACCGCAUGGUUCAAUAGUGAAAGACGGUUUUGCUGUCACUUAUAGAUGGAUCCGCGCCGCAUUAGCUAGUUGGUAAGGUAACGGCUUACCAAGGCAACGAUGCGUAGCCGACCUGAGAGGGUGAUCGGCCACACUGGAACGGAGACACGGUCCAGACUCCUACGGGAGGCAGCAGUAGGGAAUCUGCCGCAAUGGGCGAAAGCCUGACGGAGCAACGCCGCGUGAGUGAUGAAGGUCUUCGGAUCGUAAAACUCUGUUAUUAGGGAAGGACAAAUGUGUAAGUAACUAUGCACGUCUUGACGGUACCUAAUCAGAAAGCCACGGCUAACUACGUG